rnacentral:rRNA from 1 species
CGCUGACGGCGUGGCUAAGACAUGCAAGUCGUACGGACCAUCCAAUUGAGUAAUCGAGAGGAUGGUUAGUGGCGAAAGGGUGAGUAAUGCAUAGAUAACGUACCCCUGGCUCUGGGAUAACUGCGGACUUCGGUCCUUUGCGAAAGUGCAGAUAAUACCAGAUGAUUUCUAGGAGUCGCAUGGCUUCUAGAUCAAAGGGCUUCGGUACCGGCAAGGGAGCGGUCUAUGUCGUAUCAGCUUGUUGGUGAGGUAACGGCUCACCAAGGCUUCGACGCGUACCGGGACUGAGAGGUUGAUCCGGCACAUCGGGACUGAGACACUGCCCGGACCUCCACGGAGGGCUGCAGUAACGAAUAUUGCGCAAUGGACGAAAGUCUGACGCAGCGACGCCGUGUGUAGGAUGAAGUCCUUCGGGAUGUAAACUACUGUCAGGGUGAAGAAAGGUGACGGUUGUAAUACCUGAUCUUGAUCGAUCCCAGAGGAAGGUCCGGCUAACUUCGUGCCAGCAGCCGCGGUAAUACGAAGGGACCAAGCGUUGUUCGGAAUUAUUGGGCUUAAAGCGCACGCAGGCGGAAAGUUAAGCGUUCUGUGAAAUCCCUCGGCUUAACCGAGGACUAGCGGGGCGAACUGGCUUUCUUGAGGCAAGUAGGGGUGUAUGGAACUCUAGGUGGAGCGGUGAAAUGCGUAGAUAUCU